GCAGUGGUGUCUCAGUGGUAGAAUAUUUACCUUCCACAUGGAAGACCCGGGUUCGAUUCCUGGCCAGUGCA
rnacentral:tRNA from 1 species